UGUUCUGAAGGCAACCCUUGCAACAGAUGCUGUAAUAGGUACCACGGCAUGAAGGUGGAUGAGCUCAGUAUCCUGUGCUAUUGGUAAUGCUGCUAAGAAAGCUGGGGCUCAUAUUGUGACGAGUGCUGGGGUAUGUUUGCAUGAAUUACUCCUCCAGCUUUCAUCACAUACCUUGGUCCUUUUCCAGGUAAAAAGCAUUAGACAUCUGGAAAACAAAAGUGUAUACAAUCUUUUGCAGAGUAAAAGCUUCUAGUUAAUUGUUCUUGAACUACUUACCUCAUAAUCUAAGGUCUCUUUUGAAGCUCUUCCAUAAUGCAGUCAAUCAUUGAUAAUCUGAACCCUUUCACAGCAAUAUAAUUCUGUGCUUCCUCUUAUUAGCUAUAAUUCAAAGCUGAAUUUGGGUGCUUUGCCAUUGCUGGAAUGCCAUCAUGAAUGGUGACUUGGCAUGCACAACUGUCUGAGUUGUCUUUGGUUUGUGAAUCAUGUUUGAGUAGCUAAGUGUUAUCAUCAAGCUUUUGUAACUUUCUUUUUCCCCCUAUCAUGUUUCAUUCAUAUGUCUUAACUGUUUUGUGUUAGUACCUUCCAUUGUUUAUUUACAUAACCUUUGACAAUUUGUUUUGUUUGGUUAGGUUUCAGAAAUGAUAAUUAAUGAUUCUGGGGCAGUGCAUGGGGUACUCCUGGCUGAUGUUACAGCAGAGGUGCUAUGUUCAGUUGUGUGGUCAAAUGCCACUCCUUGUAAAACUUUCAUGGUAAGAUGUUCAUUACUGUCAAUGCAUUGGUAAGUUUCUAGAGGCAUGAAUGAAUAGUGUUGUGAAAAAUAAUUUCCUAAAGAGUUUUUAGUUCUGAUUUUAGGUUAUGAUUUUCUGAUACAGGAGUUAGUGUCCAAUAAUGUUCUUCCUGAUGAUUUUAUUCGUACCCUGAAUUACUCUGACUAUAGUUCUGUAAGCAACAUAGUUGAAAUUGUUGCCACGCUUUACAUUGUGAUAUUAAUCAGAGUUACCUUGUUAAUAAGUGGUUUCACUCACUGAAACAGGUUACUACAAAGAUAAACCUGGCUGUUGAUAAGCUGCCCCAAUUUAAGUGUUGCAAGC
rnacentral:misc_RNA from 1 species